rnacentral:lncRNA from 1 species
GUCAUCUCUGUGUCCACACAUCCUGCCAUAUCUGAUUAAAACAAAUCCCGGCUACCUAAUUAAAACAGUAUGUCAUUGUGUGUCCCAUUUGUGGGCAUGCCCAUAACAACGACACACAGAGUCACUGGUCCCCUCAUGUGUGUUUAGACAACAUGUCACUUUGCAUCACAAAAACACCCAGUGAUGUCAGAGGCGCCGUGCAUCAUAAUGACGCUCCUGGUAUCCAAGAGACCUCAAUUCGCUGCUCAGUCACUGUCCCUGCGGUGAGAACUGGUGGCUGGAUCGGAGCCUCCAGCUGAAGGGAACCUGAUUACAUCUAGAUUGACCCCUAUUGUGUGACAGCUAAUGACCCAGUUAACCUCUGGUUAAUUUCUGCUUCUCGGUGUCCUGGGAACGGGUGGUGUUUACUCCGGUUGGGACAAACCUUUAUUAAUGUGCAUCAGGCUCGGGGGGCUGCUGUUCUGGGCCGAGGGUUUCAUAGAAACCAGCUGAUGGGCCAGGGCCCCACUGAAGUUGCAGAAUACGAAUGAGCUGCUUUCUUUCCCCAUUCUCCUCUGCCCUGAUUUGCAUGACUAAGCUUUUUUGCCUUUUUAAAAAAUGUGUUUGUUUGUUUCUUGAUUGUUGCUCUGUCUCCUAUGGAAGAAAGAAAUUACUUGCUCACCAGCCAGGGACCGACAUCUGGCAGAAGCCCAGGUCUGCUCCUCCGGCAGACGGGAGCCAGACAGCCAUACUCGGGCAAAUGCUCUGACAAAAAUGAACUAGAAGCCACAAUAAAGUCGUCAGAUGCUUGAACUUGGACAUCAAAUCCCAUUGAAUGAAGCGACAGAUGCAGACCUGCGACCACUGUGCUGUUUGGGAGCCGUUCAGAUGCCACGAGAGGCGUCGUCAUUGGUAACGCGUUUUAAAACUGGUGAACGACCCUCAUGAAGUCGUGAACAAAACAAAGCACCACCUCAAUUUACACCAUGGUUUCCUUCCUGAAAAACUCGGGAUAUUUUAAAACAGUGGGAAAAAAAUAUUUUUGUGUCUGUGUAAAAUGGAAUUUGGUUCUGGCUCAGGUCAUUUGAAGCAGCUUUUUCAUCUAUGUGAACAUCCAGAGGGGCAUUCAACAUUAGUGCCAGUGCCUGAAGAUCAAGUAGAGUGGUGGGCUGUGGAGGGCGAGCCCAGAAUCAGUCCCUGAGGCGGGUGUCGGUGUCCCGUUUCCAGACGGCGAAAUGAAGCCAGAGAGAGGAAGAAGUUCACCGAGGUCCCACAGCCGGAGAGGGACGAGGGGGGGCUUCAACGGGAUGCUAUUGGGAGGGAGGCCUGAAUCUAACUGCAGUGUGAUUUCCGGCCUUUUGGGUCACACCCCUGGGCAGACUCUGCAGCAGCCCAGCAAACCUUGCAGUCCCCAGCACGAGAAGGGUGGAUUCCAUCUCUGACUUUCCCCUGAAACUGAAGAGGAGGAACACCCUGAUCACCCAGCUGUUAGUAGACUGCCUGGACCCCCGGUCCUGACUUCGUGCGCCAGCCGCUUUGAGUCCGGCUGAUAAAGGCUCACGGGUGUCCCCUCCCCGAAGUACAGCCCUAGGCCAAAGGGGAGCUUCCUUGCCCAGGAGGUUAUAACCCUCAUGCACAUCCUAGCCAGAGAGAGUGACAGAGAGAGAAAAACGCCAGCCCCCUUGCCUCAAGUUGGGAUCAACUCCGGGAUACAGUUCAUGCUCUGGGGCUCUCCAUAUGGGAUCUCUCCCACAUGGGAUCAGGCUGAAAUUACUCUCCUUCCUUGCUUAGCUUUCUUCCCUUACCCUGUUCUGUACCUUCACUCCCUUUUCUUAGGAGCAUCUCCUCAAUAGAUCACGUGCAAAAGGUCUCCGUCAUAGGCUCUGCUUCUAGAGCACUGACCUAAUGUCGGGUCAAGAUGGAAACCAAAAGACCACUUAGGAGACAACGGCAAUAAUCAGGGUAUCCCAUCCAAAUGGCAGAUCGAAAGAUCACUUACUGGGAAGUCAAAGAACAUGGAUUCCAGUCUUGUGUCUACAACGAGCUCUCUGGAUAACGUUGAAUGAGUCCCAUCCCGUCCCCGGGCCUCAGUUUCCUCAUCUGUCACCCACCAGAAGAAACCAUGUGGUUUGUGCUGAGCAUCUGCUUUCCUUCUGCGUGUCUGGAAUCUUGGCUGAGCAGAGGACACCUACAUGACCAGCCCCCAGCAAAUGCCAUGGGCUCUGAGUCUCUAAGGAGCUUCCCUGGUAGACAACACUUCCCACCUGUUGGGUCUCCCUGCGCCCUGCACCCCACAGCUCAAGCUGCGCUUCCACACUACAGGUCAGAUCAUGACACUCCUUUGCUUAAAUUUCUCCAAUGAUUUCCCAUCAAAUAAAAUCCAAACUCCUUACUGUGGCCCACGAGGCAUGAUCUGGUCUAUUAACGCUCCUUUAAGAGGCCAAGUCCUUGCUCAGGGUCAUUGUUCUCACUACUUCCCACUCCCUUGCUCCAGAAACGUGCUCCCCAGCACUUAGCCUGGCUGGCUGCUUCUCAUUUUAGGAAUGAAAAGAGUACCUCCCCGGGGAACCCUUCCCUGACCACGCCGAUAAAGCAGCCUUCCAUGGUCAUCACUUCCUACCUCAUCGUCUUAUUUUCUUCUCUUCAUAGCACUUACCAUACAAUCUGAAAACAUCUUAUUUGCUCACGUGUUCGUUAUCUCUCGCUGUCUCCCCAACCAGAAUGGAAGCUCCAUGAGGACAGGAACCUUGUCUGUCUUGUUCAGAACUUUACUCCCAGCAGCUAGCACAGUGUCUGGUAUAGUCAGUGCUUAACAGAUAUUUGCUGAAUGACUAAAUAAGAGAAAGUGCGCUCAGUCGUAGACAGGCUGCCCUUGUUCGCCUGGUUCCUGUUUCCAGGUGCACAGUUGAAUCCAGAGCCCACGCAUCUCGUUUACCGUCUGCUUCCUGGAACUUGCUGGGCAGCUUCGUACACCUGCACCUUGUCUUUGUCAGGUCCAUUUCUUAAAAACAACAGAAGUCAUGCCGAAAAUUUAAACAGAAAAGGAAUUUACUAAAACAAGUGGGUAGCUAGGAGAUUUCCCAGGAGGGCCAGAUAAUCAGAUUUAGAGGCUACAUAGCUAAGAACUUGGUCCAAAAAUCAUCCCACAGAGCUAUUCACAUGAAGGUACCUCUGGCACCUCUGGGCACAAACCCUAUGGCUCCCAUUUCUCAGAGCACUGAUGUACAGCUCCUCCCACUCACGGGCCAGCCCCAGAACUGAUUUCAUGAGGUUCUGGUUUCUUAAAGAGACAAGAUCCCAAUUCCAAAUUUGUGUAUGUGGGUGCAGAUGCUGAGUGCACCCAGAUUCAGGGCCCUAGCCCUAGCUGCAAGGGAGGCUGGGUAACUGAGUAAUUGGAGUUACAGCAAGAGGCAGUGGUUUAUAAGGUGUAACGUUUGCUGAACGCAGGAAAGGAAGUCAGGGUUUCUGUAUGACUAGACGAAGUGCACACACUCAGUAAAUUCUUUGGGCAGGUGGCCACGGAAGAGCUCUCUUCCCCUUUAAGCCAUCGGCUCUUAUCCCACCAGAAGGCUGCAGCAAACCAUCCCCUCUCUCUCUCUCUCAGGGUGACAGGCAGCGCUGUGACCACUUUCCAGAAGCUUCUUUCCUUUAAGGCAAUGAGGAGCUGCUGGAAUUGCUGUCUCGGUAGUUCCAAUCAUUGCUCAUUCUUGCUCAGCACAAAAUCAACCUCAGGAUUGACACGGCUGUGCCUGAAAGAGUUUUUUAUGCUAAACACCAGACGUAAACACAGCCCAGUAGACCAUGGAGUCCGGCCUGGAUUUACGCGUAUGACGUGGGGGAACAGGCAGAGAAAGGGCUGCACUGGUGUCUACACUCAACUUCUAUCCUUUCUGCUUUCCUUCCUUAACAAAGACUUAGGAAGUGUCCGCCACAGGCCAAGCAAUGUGCUAGGAGCUGGACAUGCGCUUCUGAGGCAUGGUCCCUGCCAUCCCGGAGUUCAUCUGGGGUGGAGUUGGGGAGAGCAGAUAUCAACAAAAUGGUCGUUCCAAUAAAUGUAAUCUGCAGAUGAAGACAAGUGUGCCCUCUGAAAGUCGACUAAAUCCUGUUCCUUGCCUGCUCAGAGCCCUCUGACAUCUUCCCCACACCCAGAGUAAAAUCCACGCUACCAGCCCCACGGGAUGUGGCCAUGGUGGCCUCUGGCCAACCUCCUGACAUUCUGCCUGAACUCACUGGGCCUAGCCACACGAGCCUUUUCUCUGUUUCUUCUGCUUUGUUCAGCUUACAGUUAUUUUUGAGUCUCUGUUACUCAUAGUCCCACCCACCCCCAAUGGACACGGCACAUUCAGGAACUUUGGUCUUUAUUUUUAGGGCAAGGUAAAGUGCUGGAAGUGUCUAGACAGUGGGGCGAUGUGUGGGUUUGGUGCAUUCGGGGAUCCCUCUGGCUGCGUUGAGGAAACCAGUGGACGUUGGGUGCUGGGUGUUGGGUUUUGGGUGAGGUCAUGGGGGAGCCUCCUGUCCUCCCACAGCGUAGAGGACGCUGAGCUUAUGUCGAGACGAGCUGAGACCAGGAGGCCCACAGGCCUCAGCUGCUCCCCAUGGGGGUUCCCUGGGCAGCUGCGAGGUUGGAGAUGGGUCACACUCCCAGACCCCAGCCCCCUUGUCUGAGAAACGGGAGGCUCGGCGACUCUCUGACUUGUAAGGGCCCUGCCCACGCUGAAGAGCUGAAGCUCACACAGCUGGUGGAGGGCAAAUCCGCGUCGGCUCCACUGUCUGUGUUUCUUGUGCAGUUUCAUGGCCCCUUCUGCUCCCCCGAGCAAGCCCACCAUGUUUUACCAGAAAAGAACUGGAGGAGAGGCAGGAUCUCGACAUCCCAGAUGGUCAUGGAAGAGACUUGGGGUCGAGGAACACCCCUGACGCCCUCAGCCCACAUUCCUCAGUGUCCUCCCCCUCAAAGGUGCGCAGGGAUGAGGCCCCACUCUGGCGGUGGAGACAGACAUGGACAGAUGAGUGAACAACGGAACAAAGUGCCUCAGACAGCGGCCAUUGCCCUGACCGUGGGUGUCAGGGCAGCCCACACCCCUCCACACUCACAGCCCGCCCUUGUCACCUGCCAUCUGACCACAAGCCCCAGAGUCCACCUGAUGGCGCUCUCCUGACCCAGGGAAAUGCUGGGAGCUGACACCCCAGACGCAGGGACGUCUGGGACCCCAAGGGAUGAAAGACCUCUGCCAGGGACAGCUGGGACCCCGAGGGCUUUCCUGGUAACACACCUGCGCUGUCCCACUGCCCCACUGCCCUGCAGGGUCUCCCAGAAUAAACUCCUCCCCUCUCUCUUCUCGUCAGCACCUUCUUCUGGGACCUGAACCACGGCCGACGAAGUCAAACAUGAUGGCAGGACGGAACAGAGGCCGAUGAGCUUUUGUGCAAGGGCCAGAUGGCAGCGGGCUGGAUUUGCCCCCGGCUGUGCUUUGCUGACCGCCGGGAUGGAGAGUCACCAGUUAGGGGCAAAGGGUGUUGAGCAGAUAAUGUGUGAAUGAGAAGUCGCCAAAUGAAGUUCCAGGGGAGGGCAUUCCAAGCAGAGGGAACUGCAAGGACAAAGGCCACAAGGUAGGAACACCAUUGGUACGUUAGAGGAACAGAGAGUUGGCCAACAUGGCUGGAGAAGGAAGAGAGACAAGCCAGGACACGCUAGGAAGAUAACUAGUUCUGAACGGUCCUGUGUGCUCCUGGCACUUAUUUAAUCGCCCCAACAGCCCCACGGGGAAGUGCAAUUAUUGCCCCACUGUCCAGAGGAGGAAACUGAGGCACAGGGAGGUGAAGCACUUGGCCUGAGGUCACCAGGCUAGUUACCAGUGGGGCCAGGAUGCUCCUCCCCUCCGCUCACAAUGAGCACUGCCCAUGGGGAGAGGGAGGUCACGGCGUGUUCACCCCAGGGCCCUGCAGAGCUGGGCAC